CUGGAGCUAGAAGGGGGCAGGGAAAUGGGACGAUGACCAGAUGUGGCCCAUGGCAAGGCCGUGCAUUGUGAAGGGAGGAGGAGGGUCUGAGAUCCGGGAGCCCUGCAGAGAGUUUGCUGAAGAGUGAAGAAAGGACGGCGUUAGUAAUGGGAUGAGGGAUACUGGAGUCCGAAUUAACAUAGCACACAGAGAGAUAUUCAGGAAAAUACAUCAUAUCUUGCACUUGGGUGGAAAAGAGCAGAAAUCCUUGGUUAACAGGAUUAUACGCAAUGGUGCAGAAAGCAUUCUCUAAAGAAAAAUCAGAGAGGAAGAAACACUGCAUGGAGAAUCCAAGAAACACUCUAAGAAUUGAAGUUAAAAUGUCGGAGGAGGCCUCGUAUGUCUUCUUCUAGGAGGACUCUCAGCUGAUGUUGGUUUUUUUAGUCUGUAUGAGCGAUGGACAAGCUGUCACUACCCAUUAGAUUUUGGGUGGUCCCAGGGGACCAUCCCAAGUUUGAGGAAAGUUGGCAAUGGAAAAAGGAGCAUCUGAUAGGAGCAGUCAGUGAAGUCCUUGGUUCUUACAGAGGCAGAGAGCAUGCUGUUCAGGCGCAGAUGCUGGCGUUGGACACACCCAGAUGUCAGUGUGAAAAGAAAAUAAAAUUCCGGGACCCCAAACUCAAUACACCAAAGGGAAAAGGAAAGCUUGGAAGCUGAGUCACACAAAAAAUCGGUCUUUUGUUUCUAAAUAGACAGCUACAAGAUAAAAGGACACAUGUCUCUCCAGGUGGCCUCCCUCACCUUGACAGUGUGAAUUAACAGCUUAUCUUCAUGGACAUGGGACAAGAGGAGACUGGAAAUCAUCUCCCACACCACCCUCUCCAAGACAAAUUCAUAUUUAACUUCUACUUCUGCUCUGUUGACUUUAUCCUAUGUAAAGUACAGAUUUAC
rnacentral:lncRNA from 10 species